GGGCUCUUAGCUCAGUUGGUAGAGCAGCGGACUCUUAAUCCGUUGGUCGUAGGUUCGAAUCCUACAGGGCCCACCA
rnacentral:tRNA from 35 species